UAAGGAAUUAGUUAAAGUAUAACUCAAGUUUGUCAAGCUUGAAUUGCCUGUAUGGCAUUCUUUA
rnacentral:tRNA from 1 species